AUACGGAGGAUCCGAGCGUUAUCCGGAUUUAUUGGGUUUAAAGGGUGCGCAGGCGGCCAUUUAAGUCAGCGGUUAAAUCGUGGGGCUCAACCCCAUUCUGCCGUUGAUACUGGGUGGCUUGAUUGCGGUCGAGGUUGGCGGAAUUCGUUGUGUAGCGGUGAAAUGCAUAGAUAUGACGAAGAACACCGAUUGCGUAGGCAGCUGACCAGACCGCAAAUGACGCUCAUGCACGAAAGUGCGGGGAUCGAACAGGAUUAGAUACCCUGGUAGUCCGCACAGUAAACGAUGAAUACUUGUUUUCGGCGAUAUAAUGCCGGAGGCAAAGCGAAAGCGAUAAGUAUUCCACCUGGGGAGUACGCCGGCAACGGUGAAACUUAAAGGAAUUGACGGGG
rnacentral:rRNA from 1 species